GACGAACGCUGGCGGCGUGCCUAAUACAUGCAAGUCGAACGAAGUUACUAAGGAAGCUUGCUUUCUUAUUGACUUAGUGGCGGACGGGUGAGUAACACGUAGGCAACCUGCCUGUAAGACGGGGAUAACUCACGGAAACGUGAGCUAAGACCGGAUAGACAGGAGGAGGGCAUCCUUCUCUUGGGAAAGACGGAGCAAUCUGUCGCUUACAGAUGGGCCUGCGGCGCAUUAGCUAGUUGGUGAGGUAACGGCUCACCAAGGCGACGAUGCGUAGCCGACCUGAGAGGGUGAACGGCCACACUGGGACUGAGACACGGCCCAGACUCCUACGGGAGGCAGCAGUAGGGAAUCUUCGGCAAUGGACGCAAGUCUGACCGAGCAACGCCGCGUGAGUGAGGAAGGCCUUCGGGUCGUAAAGCUCUGUUGCCAGGGAAGAACGGAUAGAGGAGUAACUGCCUUUGUCAUGACGGUACCUGAGAAGAAAGCCCCGGCUAACUACGUGCCAGCCGCCGCAGUAACAC
rnacentral:rRNA from 1 species